ACGUAGGGUGCGAGCGUUAAUCGGAAUUACUGGGCGUAAAGCGUGCGCAGGCGGUUCGCUAAGACAGGUGUGAAAGCCCCGGGCUUAACCUGGGAAUUGCGCUUGGAACUGGCGGACUGGAGUACGGUAGAGGGGGGUGGAAUUCCAGGUGUAGCGGUGAAAUGCGUAGAGAUGUGGAGGAACACCGAUGGCGAAGGCAGCCCCCUGGGCCGAUACUGACGCUCAUGCACGAAAGCGUGGGGAGCAAACAG
rnacentral:rRNA from 1 species